rnacentral:misc_RNA from 1 species
CACAGGGUCGGCGGCGCCGAUGGCCUUCCAGAAGACGGCGUAGGACCAGCCGACCUCCUCGCAGAGCCGGCGCAGCGCGUCCCCAACCGCCAUCCUGGCGACGCAGGGGGGAGUGGGAGAGAGAACCCUAGCUCCUCCGCGGGCCGCCGCCUGCAGCCCCGGGCCCCGCUCUCUCUGGCCUGGAACUGGAACAGGACGUGCGAGCAACCCAACAAGGCAACAAGCAAAGACGGGCGGCGAGCGCCCUCACUAGGCGGCGCGGUGGCUCGCUUGCCCGGCCUGCUUCGCGCGGAGCCCGCCGGCGCUCCUCGUCCUCACGCUUCCCCUCGCCGCCGGCGCGCAGGCGCCCAUCAGGGGGGCGGGCCCACUCCCAGCCCCCAGCAGGCGGGUCCCAGCGUCAGCGUCCGCGGGGGCGCGCGCUUCGCUUCACGCGGCGGUGGCGAGCGAGCCUGCCUGCCAACCCCAGUGCUGGGGCUCCGGGGGAUGAAGCUGGACCUGCUGCCGCGGACUGCGGCUCGUCAAUGUCCUGGUGCGUCUUCCUCCUUUUGGCUUUGCUGGCUUUGGCUUGUUUGGGAGGGUUCUCACUUCUCUUCUCGGGUUUGGGUGUCUACUAGUCUGUUUUGGCUUUCUC